GAACACAAACAGAAAAGAUCCAUGCUUAAUCUAGUUUUUUUUAUUCAGUUCCAUUUAUGUACAUUCCAGUUACAUUUCUUGAUCAUGAUCAGUGGGAUCUGUAUGAUUACUUUUCUUCUCCUAUUAACAAUUUGUUAAAGAUAUUGCUUUGGAGUUUCAUUCUUGAUAUGAGAAUAUUAAAUAAUGGGGAUGUUGAGUUCUUUCAUAAUAUUUUCUUGUUUGUUUUACAGGUUUCAUAAUACAUCAACAGGUAGAGUGUAUAGGCCAGAUUCAGGGGGAUAUGGCGUCAAAUAUGAUUAUGUUCGUUAUGGGAGCAGGGAUUAUGAUGAUCAGAAUGGUCAUGGAAGAGACCCUGAAUAGAGUUAUAGAGAUGAUGAGCGGUAUGGCAGAUAUGGGGAUUCAAACAAUUGUGAUGGAGAUUGUUAUGACAGAGAUUAUGAAAACCGCUACAGCAGGGAUUAUGACUACCUGAGGUAUAAGUAGAAGUGUUGAUGAUUUUCAAUAGUCACAAGAUCUAGGGGCUAUGGUAAAGACCAUGCUUUUGACGGGGAUGGUUCUUCUACUUGGGGAAGCAGUUAUGUAGAAGCAGUAAGUGAGAUUCAGAUUCCUUCUUAUAGUGAAAGGGGAGCGGUGCUAGAACUAAUGAUCACUCUCAAGACGGAAGGGUAUGCCAAACUUCUGUAGCAACUGAUCCGGGGGUUUCUCCUCCUACUAGCGAUAAUAAUCCUAACCAAGUAGCCCUUGAUCUCAAUAAUUCAGCUUCUCGAAACCAUCAAGUGGUGGUCUUUGAUGAAUUUGAUCCAUGCAUUUCAGUUUCAGUACCAGUUGAAAAUAUGAAUGACAAGAGAAGGGGCAACACCAAGGAUCAUCCACUCAGCCAGUGGUUUAUGAAUUUCUCAGAGGCAGAUGAAUUGUUGAAACUUGCCUCAGCUCGGCAGCAGGUUAGAAAGUAUGCAAUUGCUUUUCAUAUUUGC